CCUUAGAGACCAACUAAGUUUGUUCUUGGUAUAAGCUUUCAUGUGCAUGCACACUUCUUGAGAUACACUGUAUCUGAAGAAGUGUGCAUGCACACAAGAGCUUAUGCCAAGAACAAACUUAGUUGGUCUCUAAGG